rnacentral:snRNA from 1 species
GGAUGUGAGGGCAAUCUGGCUAUGACAUCUGUCACUCCACUGAUCACCAAGGUUGAUUUGGCUGAUCUGGCUGGCUAGGCGGGUGUCCCCUUCCUCCCUCAACACUCCAAGUGCAUCCCUCCCAAAGCUGCAUGCUCUGCUGAAGAGCAUGACCUUCCCCGAUAAAGGAGAACCAGUCUUCACUCAAGAGUAUUUGAGCAGGUGUGCUCCCCUGCUAGAAUCACCAAACAAGCUCUCAUUCAGUAUUUUUUAAAACAACUUUAAUUAGAAAUCACAUCCUACAUACAGGGGUUA